GCCAACCCACCAACUGACGGGAC
rnacentral:miRNA from 1 species